UACGUAGGCAGCAAGCGUUGUUCGGAGUUACUGGGCGUAAAGAGUGCGUAGGCGGUGUCGAAAGUUUGGCGUGAAAUCUCCCGGCUUAACUGGGAGGGUGCGCCGAAAACUGCGAUGCUGGAGUGUGGGAAAGGCAAGCGGAAUUCCUGGUGUAGCGGUGAAAUGCGUAGAUAUCAGGAGGAACACCGGCGGUGUAGACGGCUGCUAGACCAUAACUGACGCUGAGGCACGAAAGCGUGGGUAGCAAACAGG
rnacentral:rRNA from 1 species